CAAUAGCGUAUAUUAAAGUUGUUGCGGUAAAAAAGCUCGUAGUUGGAUUUCUGUUGAGAGCGACCGGUCCAUACCAUGUAUGCGUAUCUGGCUUGCUCUCGGCAUCCUCUCGAUAGACGUUACUGCGCUUGAUUGCGUGGUGCGGAUCUCGGGACUUUUACUUUGAGGAAAUUAGAGUGUUCACGGCAGGCUUUCGCCAGAAUACAUUAGCAUGGAAUAAUACUAUAGGAUCUUGGUUCUAUUUUGUUGGUUUCUAGAAUUGAGAUAAUGAUUAAUAGGGACAAUUGGGGGCAUUCGUAUCAACACGUCAGAGGUGGAAUUCUUGGAUUGUGUUGCGACGAACUACAGCGAAAGCAUUUGCCAAGGAUGUUUUCAUUGA
rnacentral:rRNA from 1 species